rnacentral:siRNA from 1 species
CAUAUUCCGGUAUAUUCGAGGUAC